rnacentral:lncRNA from 1 species
ACCUGUCGUUCACACUGCAUUAAUUUGAUAUCAUACAUUCUAAUACAGAAAAUCUCCAGCAAUCCACUUUCUCAAUUUUUGCCAUGUUAAGUCAUGAUCAUUACAGUCUUCUGGCCACUGUAUGAAUAAUACAUAGUUCCAAAUAUGAGUAAGCCCUUCAGGAAUAUCUUUUAAAGUUAUGUCUUUAGAUAUGACUAUGACAUUUUCAAUGUUUUGCAUACUU